rnacentral:rRNA from 1 species
ACUGAACGCUGGCGGCAUGCUUUACACAUGCAAGUCGAACGGUAACAGGCCGCAAGGUGCUGACGAGUGGCGAACGGGUGAGUAAUGCAUCGGAACGUGCCCAGUCGUGGGGGAUAACGCAGCGAAAGCUGUGCUAAUACCGCAUACGAUCUAUGGAUGAAAGCGGGGGACCGUAAGGCCUCGCGCGAUUGGAGCGGCCGAUGUCAGAAUGAGGGAGUUGGUGGGGUAAAGGCCUACCAAGCCGACGAUCUGUAGCUGGUCUGAGAGGACGACCAGCCACACUGGGACUGAGACACGGCCCAGACUCCUACGGGAGGCAGCAGUGGGGAAUUUUGGACAAUGGGCGCAAGCCUGAUCCAGCAAUGCCGCGUGCAGGAAGAAGGCCUUCGGGUUGUAAACUGCUUUUGUACGGAACGAAACGGUCCGGGUUAAUACCCUGGGCUAAUGACGGUACCGUAAGAAUAAGCACCGGCUAACUACGUGCCAGCCGCCGCGGUAAUAC